rnacentral:rRNA from 1 species
CGGAAUUAUUGGGCGUAAAGGGUGCGUAGGCGGGUUGGUAAGUCUUGUGUGAAAUCUACAGGCUCAACUUGUAGUCUGCACGAGAAACUGCCGGGCUUGAGUGUGGGAGAGGUGAGUGGAAUUCCUGGUGUAGCGGUGAAAUGCGUAGAUAUCAGGAGGAACACCUGUGGCGAAAGCGGCUCACUGGACCAUAACUGACGCUGAUGCACGAAAGCUAGGGGAGCAAACAGG